rnacentral:rRNA from 1 species
CCUACGGGAGGCAGCAGUAGGGAAUAUUGCACAAUGGGGGAAACCCUGAUGCAGCAACGCCGCGUGGAUGAAGAAGGAUCUCGGAACGUAAAGUCCUAUCAGCAGAGAAGAAAAUGACGGUAUCUAACUAAGAAGCACCGGCUAACUACGUGCCAGCAGCCGCGGUAAUACGUAGGGUGCAAGCGUUAUGCGGAUUGACUGGGUGUAAAGGGGGCGUAGACGGGAUGACAAGUCUGGAGUGAAAUCCUAGGGCUUAACCCCGGAACUGCAUUGGAAACUGUGAGGCUGGAGUGCAGGAGGGGUAAGCGGAAUUCCUAGUGUAGCGGUGAAAUGCGUAGAUAUUAGGAGGAACACCGGUGGCGAAGGCGACUUACUGGACUGUAACUGACGUUGAGGCUCGAAAGCGUGGGGAGCAAACAGGAUUAGAUACCCUGGUAGUC